rnacentral:tRNA from 1 species
GCAGCUGUAGCUCAGUUGGUUAGAGCGCCUGGUUGUGGUUCAGGAGGUCACUAGUUCGAAUCUAGUCAGCUGUACCA